rnacentral:rRNA from 1 species
AUUGAACGCUGGCGGCAGGCCUAACACAUGCAAGUCGAGCGGAUGAAGGGAGCUUGCUCCUGGAUUCAGCGGCGGACGGGUGAGUAAUGCCUAGGAAUCUGCCUGGUAGUGGGGGAUAACGUCCGGAAACGGGCGCUAAUACCGCAUACGUCCCGAGGGAGAAAGUGGGGGAUCUUCGGACCUCACGCUAUCAGAUGAGCCUAGGUCGGAUUAGCUAGUUGGUGGGGUAAAGGCCUACCAAGGCGACGAUCCGUAACUGGUCUGAGAGGAUGAUCAGUCACACUGGAACUGGGGCACGGUUCAGACUCCUACGGGAAGCAGGAGUGGGGAAUAUUUGACAAUGGGCGAAAGCCUGAUCCAGCCAUGCCGCGUGUGUGAAGAAAGUCUUCGGAUUUUAAAGCACUUUAAGUUGGGAGGAAGGGCAGUAAGUUAAUACCUUGCUGUUUUGACGUUACCAACAGAAUAAGCACCGGCUAACUUCGUG